rnacentral:rRNA from 1 species
UACAGAGGUCUCAAGCGUUGUUCGGAUUCAUUGGGCGUAAAGGGUGCGUAGGCGGCGUGGUAAGUCGGAUGUGAAAUCUCGGAGCUUAACUCCGAAACUGCAUUCGAUACUGCCGUGCUUGAGGACUGGAGAGGAGACUGGAAUUUACGGUGUAGCGGUGAAAUGCGUAGAUAUCGUAAGGAAGACCAGUGGCGAAGGCGGGUCUCUGGACAGUUCCUGACGCUGAGGCACGAAGGUCAGGGGAGCAAACGGG